ACCCGCGCGCCAAUCUGCGCAGUCGCCCUGUUAUUCCUCGAGCAUGCUGGGAGUUGUAGGCUGUCACUUUGGCAUCCUGGGAUUUGUGGUUUUUCCCUUCUCAGUCGUCUACUCUCUGCACAGUAUUUCCUGUCCUCUAGAAACCAGCCAAAGUUAGUGUGCUCGAACCUACAGCCUCACUUACUCCCUUUUUGUCGUGAUUUGAACGAGAAUGUUUGGUAGACACAGUAGGGUCUUUCCCCCCGCCCCUCUCGCCAAUACAACAGAGUAGAAAGUGAUUCAUUCUAAACACACCCAUAGAGCAUUUUGAGAUCAAGCAGACGUCUAAGGUCGUGAAGCCCUGUUCCAAGAGCUGGGUGAGCCUGGGGUGGUGGCCCACGCCUUCAGUUCCAGCAAUUGGAGGGCUGAGGCAACUCUAUGAGUUUGAGGCCAUCCUGAUCUACACGGUGACAUCCAGGCCAGAGAGGGAUACAUAAGUCUCCAAAGUAGGCUGACCGUUUGGCACUGGACAACCAAUUGCUGAGCGCUUCCCUGGGGAGGACCGCCAUUCUUGCUCACAGCUUUCCUCAGUAAGAAAAACAAGUAUUCUUAACUGAGCUAGCUUUCCUGGUAUUUUCCUGGACAUCAAAAUCCUAAGGGAAAAGGGAAAAAAAUAAACUAACAAAUAGAUCCUGGUCAGAACUGUGGAUUUUAACAGGGUCUGUGUAUCUUGGGGUAGCCUGGAGUUCCUGACUUCUGCCCCAGCCUCCCAAAUACUAGGAUUGCAGGUGUUUGUCAUGAUGCCAGGCUAGAAGCAAAAACUUUGUAUUUUAAAAUACACUAUUGAAAAAGUGAAAGUGUUACUCAAAGAAUUGGAAAAGCCAUUUGGAAACCAUAUAUCUGAGGUGGGUUUUACAUCCAUAGUGUGGAAAGAAUUCUUAGAGAUCAACAUCAACACAUUAACAACCCAGUUUUAAAAGGGCCAAGGAACUUAACUUGAGAGCUUUCUCCAAGUGGACAAACACUGGACAAUAGGCAUUUUGAGAGGAUGCUUCUGACCAUUGAUCACUAAAGAACUUUACCUGAAGACAAUAAUGAGAUGCUAUUUCAUACUUAAUGGGAUGUCUAUAAUUAAACAAAUCAAAGACAAGGAAUUGACAAGAAUUGAUGAAGAUAUAACAAACUGGAAGCUUCAUAGUCCUUAUGAGAAUGUACUAUGUUGUAACAGCCCUGGAAAACAUUUGAAACAUCUUAAACCAUCACACAAAGACGUAUCAAAUGAACCAAGAGUUCUGCUCACAAGUAUUCGAGAUAACUAAAAAGACAAGUCUAUUCAAAAUAUUAUAUUCAAGUUUUCAUAACAGCAUUUUCCUUGACAGUCAAAAUGUGGAAGCAUUCCAAAUGGUUAUUAACUGAAGAAGAGCUAAUCCAAAUUUGGGUUACUUAUUCAUUGGGAAAUUACUUAGGUAAAGAAAAAUAUAUAGGUAAAGUCUUAAUAUGGGAGUACAUUGGAAGCAUUUUUCAGUGAGAAAGAAUCUAGAUACCAAAGGGCACAAACCGCAUCACUCCAUUUGUAUGAAAUGUGAUGGGGGAUGUCCUUUUGUAUAUGUUUCUCUUAUUGGUUGAUGAAUAAAACACUGAUUGGCUGCUAGCCAGACAGGAAGUAUAGGUGAGUCUAAGAGAUGAGGAGAAUGAGGGAGAGAGGGAGAGAGGGGCUGCAAAGAGACACCAUGUAGAGACCAGGAAGAUGGGGCACACUUUCAAAUAGAUGAUAUUAGGUUACGUGAGUUUCAUGUUAAUAAAAAAAUUGUAUGCUUGUAGACUGUCAGGAGAAUUCAGCAGGACCUGUGUGAUAGGGGCUUUUCAAAGAUGAAAUAUUUAAAAUCUCAUUACAGAGAUCAUUAAGAAAUGAACAUAUCUAAUUGCUUUGAUGGUAGGAGAUCACUAAUUUUGAACACCAAUUAAGCAAAAUGUUACCCCUCAGAAUGAAUGACAUUCUUCUCAGAAGUAAAUCUAGAUUACCAAAAAAAUUACACUAUACUAUUAUACUUUGAAUUUCUGUAAAAUUUGUGGAAAUGUUUUCUCUCUAGUCAUUUAAAUGCCAAACAGGCAUGAUUUUGCAUUUUGACUCGGAAAGCCUAAAAUAUUAGCUGUUAGGCUAGUAGUAUGUAACAAUAUAUCUGUACAGAUAUAUUUACAUCUAUGUGUGUAUAUGUGUAUAUGGUACAUAUAUGAUUAUAAAAUCCAUUAUAUAAAAGUCUUAUUCAUUUCAGAAGUAUUUAUAUUUCCCCACAAAUUCUUUUUGGUUGAGAACAGGAAUCAAACUGAAUAUUAUUUCCAGUUAGAGGAUUCAAGGCAGAACUUUUUACUGUACACAGAAUGGAAAAUAAUACUAAUUAAUGAUAGUUCUAGUAAGAACAAUGAGAACAAAAUAAAAACUCCUGUAUGCUUUAUUUUGCUCCAUAAAAUAUGUUUUCAUUCUAAAUCAAAGAAAUACUGAAUUUCCUUUAUAAGACAGCUACUAUUUUAUUUCUCACUCUGUGCAUUUUCAAUUUUAAUGUAAUCUAUAUCACGAUUCUUCAAUUUUUAUAAAGAAAACAUCUGGGGUAACUUGUUACAGCAUUUGUCUUGAGCUUUCAUAAUAUUCCACAACUCCUCUUUCUUAUGGAUCGAAUCCGAUAUUCAUAUCCCUCCAGUGCUGGCAAUGGAAGGUGUUUCUAGAGACUGCUAAAAGUGUAGCAGAGGACAAAAAUCCUUGACUUAAACUUGUGUGAAGCAAUGAUGGGGCCAGUGUACUGGUGAUUCUUCCACCCCCCUUUAAAGAGGUAGUUCGGAAAGUCAGAUGGGAAGGAAAAAGAAUCACACUUUGCUAUAGGAAAUAUGUGCCGAGAAAGGCCUUCAGGGAAGUAUGUAAACUCAUAGGAAAGAGAUGUUCUAUUCUCCUAAGAAGUCAGGCCCUUCACCUCCAGUAUCCAGUCUAGACAGGCUUACCCACUUCUGAAAUGCAGAGGAACUGAGUUGUUGUUUUGUGGGGCUACAUGGCCUUAGAGAAUGAUGUAGAACCAAGUAGUUCUCUGGCAUAUUCCUUGAGCAAAAGACUCGAGAUCCAUCAUGCAACCUAGGGGUCAGGGUGGAGAUGGAGGAAAGCACACUACAGUCUAGAGUAAUUAGAGCAAUGUCAACUAAGUAGAAUGGGGACACAGGGUUUUAGAAAACAGGCUCCUCUAUGCUUUUGCUUUUGCUUUUGGAUUGGCAGAAGCAAGUGUUCUGCUAAGCCAAUAGAUAAACUUUUAUCUAUUGUCACAAGAUGUUAGUUCCAAUACAGUGGCAAUGGAAGGUGUUUCUAGAGACUGCUAAAAGUGUAUCUCCAGUCUCCCCUUAUAAUUGCAAAUGUGUCUCAACAUAUGCAGAUGUGAGCAGUGUUUCCUGUGUUUAUAGAUGUUGUUGGCACUGCAUUCCCCUCUCCUCCAGUCUCCUACAUGGGCAGUCUUAGAAGCUUCUUCUUGAGCUGAAAUGUUAGCUCAAUGGAUUCUUCAGUCUCUCUAAGGCAGUAUUAAUGCCACUUUCCUCCAAGCGCACAUUUCUUUGGUUCACAUAGUGCACUGUAAUUAUUUGACUAAUAUUCCUAUGAAUGUCUGCAGAGCCAAGAACUUGCCCUAUUUGUCUGCCCCCAGCACUGACCAUAGACUUGCCUGGAUACAGCGUUUAUCCUCCUCCUCUUCCUCCAUCUCCUUUACCUCCUUCUUUCCCUAUUAUGUGUUGAGAAUAAAAUCCAGUGCCUUGUACAUACUAAGCAUAUGCUGUUCUGAGGAACUGCACCCCACUGUGAAUAAAAAUCCCUGAAGAGAAGCUGUGUCUGGCUGUGUGUGAAAAACUCCUGAAAGGACUCUGUCUCCAGAGACUGAUUAACCAACUGGAAUCUCAGUAGUGUCAAGAGAUUGGGAAUGUGCAGGUUCAGAAGCAAAUUACCUCGUCUUGGGCUAGUUUUAGCCUUCUAGAAUAGCCCUUCCUUGCCCCACACUGUAUUGGAACUAACAUCUUGUGACAAUAGAUAAAAGUUUAUCUAUUGGCUUAGCAGAACACUUGCUUCUGCCAAUCCAAAAGCAAAGAAUACCAUCAAAUAACAUUUAAGACUAUUUAAUGCCCACCACCAUGCCACUGUACCUGUCUCUCUGGUGAGCCCACCAAUGUAUUUUAAAUCUGCCUUGAUCUAUGACUCUCUUUGUUCUGUAAAAUAUAAAAACUUCAUGAAACUGCUUCCACGUCAGAACGUGGAACUUGGGGUAACCCAAAUCUGUGUUCCGGGCCAUGAUCACUCAAAAUGUCUCCAGAAUAAACUUUUACUCCCUGUAAUAUGAGAGCUGUUUUUUUUUUUUUUUUUUUCUCUACACCAGCUUGGCAAUUUUCAUUUCGGGACAUGAUUUUUGAAAAAUACAGGAGUCCCAACAUAUUAAAAAUCUUUGGAAAAUAUAGUUCGAUGCAUCCCACAUCCUAAUUCUUCAGCAAAAGUCCCUCUCUUUUUAUUUUCCCUUUACCACACAUUCCUGUAGCUUCUGUCUGAAGUGCAAGCACCUUUUGGAGCAAAGCUCCUAUAAAUGCCGCCUGCCACUGUCACUGUUUCUGUUCUCAGAUCCAUUCCAGCCUGCUUCUGUUCUACCACUCCACUGAGAUUCCUUGCCAUUCUCAGUGAUUUCCAUCUUUGUGGUGGUUUGUAUGAGAAUAUGGUUCCCAUAGGCUCCAUACUUGGUGGCUAGUUGGUGGGACUGUUUGAGGGAGAUUAGGGGGUGUCACCUCCUUAAAGGAGGUAAUGAUGUCACUAGGAGUAGACUUGAAGUUUCAAAACGCUGGUGUCAUUCCCAGUUUCUCUCUGUCUCUGUCUCUGUCUCUUGCUGCCUCCCCCCCCUUUCUCCUGUUUCCUCUCCACCCACCUCUCUCUGACUCACGGUUGUGGAUGAAGAUGUGAGUUCUCGGCUGGUCCUUGCUCUGCCACCACGGAUUCAAAUACUCUGAGACUGUAAGCAAAAUGAAUGUUUUCUUGACUACAGCACCUUGGUCGUAGCGUUUUAUCCAAGCAGUAGGAAAGUUAAGUCGGAUGGUCUUUGAAGCAUGUUCUUUCUUGGGCGUUAGGUGUCCAAUCUCUGCUGGCUCUCCAUAUGUACAGGCCUCUCCCCAGUCAUCUUCUUUCCCCUUUCCCCCAUCUCCAGAAGUUGGGGCACUCUCAGGCUGUUUCUCUAUCCUUCCUCGGGGACAUUUUCCUUGAACUUUUGCCUGCUUACUUGACACCUGCACUUGAAUAUCCAAGAUAAAGUCACAUUAAAUUUGUCAUUUGGCUACUCUUAUCUAUUACUUUUAAAUUUAGGAUCUUAAUUUCUCUUUUCAUUAGAUUUGUACUGUGGAAUCUGGUAACAGUUUGUUCUUUGACAUUUUCUUUUUUCUUCCGUGCCUUUCCUUGGAUAUUAUCGUCUUUGUAGAAUUUCCAUUGUUGAAGAGCUCAUGGCUUUAAUUCCAGCAGUAGAGAGGUAUAUGAGACAGGAGCAGGGGCUCAGAGCUAGCGUUCAGUGUUCAGUCUCCAGCCAUGCUGAGGGCUUGUGGAGAGGUGAAAACUCUGGUGUCUGGCUGACUGCUUUUGCUUCUCUGAUCUUCAGCUUGAACACCCUGCCCCUCCCGCCAAAAUAAUUUUCAUUCUUGAGUAGAAGUUCCACUAGAGGGCGCACAUGUAUCACUUAUAUGGAAAAAAACACAAAAAUUAAAUAAAACCAACCAAUCAACCAACCAACCAACCAAACAAACAAACAAAAAAUCAGGCCUAGUAAGGGAAAACAUUGAACAAUUAAAAUAAGUGCUUUUGAAUAUAUCUGUUCUCUAACUUUCUCUCCUUCCCUCCCAUUCCCUCCCUCCCUCCUUUCUUUUUUUCUUUUUUCUUUCUGAUAAGGUCUCACAGUGCAGCCCGGCCUGACCUGGAGCUCACUGCCCUUGAACUUGUAAUACUCCACUCAGCUCUGCAUCUUUAGUGCUAAUGCUGCAGGCGUGUGUCACCAUGCCCACUUGUUCCCUGAUUUUCUAGUCAUCUUGAUUGAAAGGUUUUAUUUAUUUAUUUAUUUAUUUAUUUUGAGACAGUGUCUCACUAUGUAGCCCUGGCUGACCUGGAACUCAAUACAUACAGCAGGCUGGAUUGGAACUAAAAGAGAUAGCAGAGGUAUGUCUGCCUCAGCCUCCUCAGGGCUGGGAUUAAAGGCAUGUACUACCAUGCCUGGUAGAAGAAAAAAAAUUUAAAGUUUACAAAUGUAGACUUUAUUUUGUCUACAUAGAGAAUGAUCAGUUUCCCAAUGGAAGUAAGCAAGUACAUUUUUAGUAUAUUAAGAUUUAAUGCAAAUGAAAGCAUAUGUCUGCAUUAAAAUUCUUCUGACCUCUGUGGGCACCAGUCAUGCAUAUGGUACACAGACAUGCAGUCAGGUAAAGCACUCAUACACAUAAAAUAGAAAUAAAUGAAGAUAUAAGAUAUAGUGCAAUAAUAGUAAGUACUAUAACAAAGUUACAGGAAAAGUUCCUUAAAAGCCUAGGGGGAAAAUGAGAGUAACUCUGGUGACAGGGAUUGUCACAGAAGACAUUUGUAUAUUCCAGACUAACCUGCUUUCAUCACCGGGAAGUCUCAGAAUGUCUCUGGUGACAGAUUUGUGUCCUAUCUCUGGAAUGAAUGUUCUGUUAUCUGUUACUGCCAUAGCCACUAGAGUAACCUCAGAGCAGGAUUUAGAUAUUUACAUACACAGGGUUAGCAUCUCUAAUAUGGAAACCUGAAACCCAAAAUGUUCCAAAAUCUGAAACUUUUUGAAUGCCUGUAUGAUAGAAAAAUUCCACAGGUAAAAUUAGGUGCACUAAAAGUAUUAUAUAGAAUUAUCAUUAGGCUCUGGAGUUAAAUUGAAACAUGAGGGAAUUUUAUGUGUAGACUUGGACCCCAUAUCCAAGAUAUCUCAAUAUGCCUAGAAAGAUAAUAAAAAUCUGGAAGAAUCUGUAUUACAAAGGGUCACUCUUCCCCUCUAGCAUUUAGCACAGUGCCUACAAAUAGGGAUCUGGUACAUGAUUAUGGGAUGUAGAGCUGGAAGCUUUUCUGUGUCCCACCUGGUCUUUCAGCUGCUUUUAAAAUAAUCACUCAGAGGCUUAAUAAUAAUUUUAAUUGUUUGGCCAAUGGCUCAGGCUUAUUAUUAACUAACUCUUACUUUUAAAUUAACCCAUUUCUAUUGAUUAUGUGUGUCGUGUCAUAAACAUGACUUGUGGCUAACCAGUGAUGUUCUUACAUCUUUCUCCUCUGGUGGCUGCUGCCGCAUCUCUCUCUUGCCUUCUUUUCCCCUGAAUUUAGUUUGGCUUUCCCACAUAACUAUAUUCUGCCUUGCCAUAGACCAAAUCUGCUUCAUUCAUCAACCAAUAAAAGCAAUACACAUUCGCAGAGUACAGAAGGACUUCCCACAUCACUUGAAGCUGUGGAGUCAUUUCAGGUUAAUAUGGUUUGAUCGAGCAAGACCCCGGCCCUGACAGGUCUCUGAUGGGAACAAGGGUCCAGGUUAUCCAACAUCCACAGCAGCUUCAAGGCUGAGAUGGACCAACUAUACAAAAUACCCCAGUGAGACAUGUCUGCUCCUGGCAGCACCAAUUACUCCAAGAAGAUGAUGGUCGAGAAGCUCCUUAUGCAGUUUGUUUUCAAUGUGGCAAGACUAGCCAUUUGAGCAAGAAACUGCACUUGACUAGAAAGCUUGACACUAUGUUACAUAAACUGGACACUCAGGUCCCACAGGAAAAUGACUGCUGAAUUUGCCAAAACAAGAUAGGAUGGUCCUCCAGAGUGCUUGCUUCAUGAAAGAGUCUGCCAGAUAUUCUACAGGGCACAGAAGAAAGCAACUGACGAAUUUUGCCAAAAUAAGUGAGACAGUCCUUCAAAUUUUCUGCUUCACCGAGAAAUCUACCAGACACUUUAGGCCUGUAGGCUGAAGAUGGAUGCCCCAAUGUUAUAGAAAAACUUUGGGUUACUAUCCAGGCAGGCAGAUUUCUGUUAUUUCUAGAGCUUUUGGAAGUUGUUUACAGUGCACUUUCUGUUUACUUAGGUAAUACUAUAUCUUUCUAGGGUCUUUGAUGGAGUUGAAGACUAGAUAGUUAUAAUUAUAGCUUUCCUUAGUUAUGAUAAAAGAUAAGUUAGAUAUAAAACUUUAGACUCAAAAACAUAGGAUAGAGUAUCUUUAUUCUGAAUACAAACAGACUAAAUAUCAUAAUUGUAAUUCUUGCUUGAUACCUAUUUUGUUCAAUGCAAUUUUACAAUGUGAAGUUAAAAAUCUUCCUUUUUAAUUAGACAAAAAAGGAGAAAUAAUGUGGGGUGUCCUUCUAUGGGCUGCAAAUAUGUGUUGCUUUUUUGUUGGUUGAUGAAUAAAGCUGCUUUGGCUUAUGGCAGGGUAGAAUGUAGUUAGGUGUAAAAGCCAAACUAAAUACAGGGAGAAAGAAGGCAGAGUUGAGAGAGACACCAGCAGCUGCCAGAGGAGAAAUAUGUAAGAGCAUCACGGGUAAGCCACAAGCCAUGUAAUGACAUGCAGAUUAAUAGAAAUGGAUUAAUUUAAAUGUAAGAGCUAGUUUGUAAUAAGCCCGAGUCAUUGGUCAAACAAUUAUAACUAUUAUUAAGACUCUGCAUGAUUAUUUUAUAAGCAGCUGAGGGACCAGGCAGGACACAGAAAAGCUUCUGGCUAUAGGGAGGAUUGUUUUUAUUAUUAAUUAAUUAAUUAAUUAAUUAAUUUUCUG